GGGUGAAUUUGGGGUGAAUUUGGGGGGAAUUUGGGGUGAAUUUGGGGUGAAUUUGGGUGAAUUUGGGGGGAAUUUGGGGUGAAUUUGGGGUGAAUUUGGGG